ensembl:misc_RNA Metazoa_SRP Metazoan signal recognition particle RNA
GCUGGGUGUGGUGGCGCACGCCUGUAGUCCCAGCUACUUGGGAGGCUGUGGCACAAGAAUUGCUUGAACCCAGGAGGCGGAGGUUGCAGUGAGCCAAGAUCGUGCCACUGCACUCCAGCCUGGGUGACAGAGCAAGACUCUGUCUCAA